CAGCCGCCACGGUAAUACGAAGGGUGCAAGCGUUAAUCGGAAUUACUGGGCGUAAAGCGUGCGUAGGCGGUUUGUUAAGUCUGUUGUGAAAUCCCCGGGCUCAACCUGGGAAUGGCAAUGGAUACUGGCAAGCUAGAGUGUGUCAGAGGAUGGUGGAAUUCCCGGUGUAGCGGUGAAAUGCGUAGAGAUCGGGAGGAACAUCAGUGGCGAAGGCGGCCAUCUGGGACAACACUGACGCUGAGGCACGAAAGCGUGGGGAGCAAACAAGAUUAGAUACCCCCGUAGUCCCUGUCUCUUAUAC
rnacentral:rRNA from 1 species